rnacentral:rRNA from 1 species
GUCUAUUUGUAGAUAUAAAAAGUCCAGCCUGCUCACUGAUAAUAAUUUUAAGAGCCGCGGUAUUCCUGACUGUGCAAAGGUAGCAUAAUCGUUAGUUUUUUAAUUGAAAUCUUGUAUGAAUGGUUUGACAAAAAAAAGACUGUCUUUAAAUUAUUAAUUGAAUUUAACUUUUAAGUGAAAAGGCUUAAAUAUAUUAAAAAGACGAUAAGACCCUAUAAAGCUUAAUAUAUUUUUUUUAUUUAAUAAAAUUUUAUAAAUAUAAAUGUUUGGUAAUUAACUUUAUUAUAUUGGGGUGAUAAUGGUAAAAUGAUUAAUAACUGUUAAUUUCAUAAAUACAAAAAUAAAUGAUUAGUUCUUGUAAAUGAUCCUAUUUAAAGAUUAAAAGUUUAAGUUACUUUAGGGAUAACAGCGUUAUUUUUUUUGAGAGUUCAUAUCGAGAAAAAAGUUUGCGACCUCGAUGUUGAAUUAAAAUAUCUAUAUAAUUGUAGCAGUUAUAUAAGAAGGUCUGUUCGACCUUUAAAUGUUU